rnacentral:tRNA from 1 species
GCUUUAAUAGUUUAUCUAGAAUUUUAACUUGUGGCGUUAGAGGAAUAUUCGUUUAUUUAAGGCA